rnacentral:rRNA from 1 species
GACGAACGCUGGCGGCGUGCUUAACACAUGCAAGUCGAACGGAAAGGCCUCUUUCGGGGGGUACUCGAGUGGCGAACGGGUGAGUAACACGUGAGUAACCUGCCCUUGACUUUGGGAUAACUUCAGGAAACUGGGGCUAAUACCUGAUAGGAGCUCCUGCUGCAUGGUGGGGGUUGGAAAGUUUCGGCGGUUGGGGAUGGACUCGCGGCUUAUCAGCUUGUUGGUGGGGUAGUGGCUUACCAAGGCUUUGACGGGUAGCCGGCCUGAGAGGGUGACCGGCCACAUUGGGACUGAGAUACGGCCCAGACUCCUACGGGAGGCAGCAGUGGGGAAUAUUGCACAAUGGGUGGAGGCCUGAUGCAGCAACGCCGUGUGCGGGAUGACGGCCUUCGGGUUGUAAACCGCUUUCGCUCAUGACGAAGCUUUGUGUGACGGUAGUGGGUAAAGAAGCACCGGCUAACUACGUG